UCCCGGGCCUUGUACACACCGCCCGUCACACCAUGGGAGUGGGUUGCUCCAGAAGUGGUUAGCCUAACCUUCGGGAGGGCGAUCACCACGGAGUGAUUCAUGACUGGGGUGAAGUCGUAACAAGGUAGCCGUAGGGGAACCUGCGGCUGGAUCACCUCCUU
rnacentral:rRNA from 1 species